rnacentral:tRNA from 1 species
GCCAGUGUGGCAUAGUGGUUUGAGUUGGAUUAUGACUCUGGAGAUCAGGGUUUGAUUCCCAGCUCAAUCA